GACAGAGGUCCCAAGCGUUAGGCGGAAUCACUGGGCUUAAAGCGUGUGUAGGCGGAUGCCUAAGUACCUUGUGAAAUCCCACGGCUCACCCGGUGGAACUGCUUGGUAUACUGGGUGUCUUGAGCCACUUAGGGGCUACCGGAACAAAUGGUGGAGCGGUGAAAUGCGUAGAUAUCAUUUGGAACGCCAACGGUGAAAACAGGUAGCUGGGAGUGUGCUGACGCUGAGACACGAAAGCCAGGGGAGCAAACGGG
rnacentral:rRNA from 1 species